GUCGAGGAUCUUUUGCAAUGGGCGAAAGCCUGACAAAGCGACGCUGCGUGGAGGAUGAAGGCCUUCGGGUUGUAAACUCCUGUCAUUCGGGAACAAUAGCGGGCGGGUUAACAGCCUGUCCGAAUGAGAGUACCGGAAGAGGAAGCCACGGCUAACUCUGUGCCAGCAGCCGCGGUAAUACAGAGGUGGCGAGCGUUGUUCGGAUUUACUGGGCGUAAAGGGUGCGUAGGUGGCUAUGUGUGUCGAACGUGAAAGCCCACUGCUCAACGGUGGAAUGUCGUUCGAAACUACAUGGCUAGAGUGCAGGAGGGGAGAGCGGAAUUCUCGGUGUAGCGGUGACAUGCGUUGAGAUCGAGAAGAACACCGGUGGCGAAGGCGGCUCUCUGGAAUGCAACUGACACUGAGGCACGAAAGCUGGGGGAGCAAACAGGAUUAGAUACCCUGGUAGUCC
rnacentral:rRNA from 1 species